GUGAAAUCUUGGUGGGAUGCGGUCCUUUCUAGCAACACGCACCCGACGAAGGCCUUGUCUUCUUUGUUACUCCUCGUGGGAUGGGAGAUCUGGAAUGAAAGGAAUACUCACGUCUUCAGGAGCAAAGUGGCGCCGGUGGCGACUGUCAUGCGACGCAUAAAAGAGGAAGUUUCUAUUUGGGCCAUGGCGGGCACUAAGCAUUUGCGUAAUGUAAUGCCGCGAGAGUAA
rnacentral:rRNA from 1 species